rnacentral:misc_RNA from 1 species
UACGAAUGGGGCGAGCGUUGUUCGGAAUCACUGGGCGUAAAGCGUACGUAGGCGGACUGGAAAGUCAGAAGUGAAAUCCCGGGGCUCAACCCCGGAAUUGCUUUUGAAACUUCCAGUCUAGAGGCCCGGAGAGGUCAGCGGAAUUCCGAGUGUAGAGGUGAAAUUCGCAGAUAUUCGGAGGAACACCAGUUGCGUAGGCGGCUGGCUGGACGGGUACUGACGCUGAGGUACGAAAGCGUGGGGAUCAAACAGG